rnacentral:lncRNA from 1 species
AAGUAUGCAAUUUUUCAUACCAUUUUCAAAUUUUCUAACUUAUCUUAAACAAAAUAUUUUAUCACCUUUAACUAACAAUUCUCUUUCUUAUUUGACAAAGCAGCUACCAUUCCCUGCACUUCUAUAGAUGACUGUCCAAAGAUGCCUUUAGUUGUAAAGUGUAUUGAUAAUUUUUGUAACUACUUUGAAAUUAAGUAACAAAAAUUACAUGUUACCUCUAUCCAUAUAAUUUUCUUUGUAUUUAAUAAUGAUUGUAAUUUACUUCACAAAUUUAUUUUUGAUUGUUCGCCAUUUCAAAUUUAAUGACAAGUUUAAUGAUUUAUUCUUAUAAUAUACAAGCAUUGUCACCUUAUUUUUUUCAUUGAAGAUAUCGUAAAAGACAAUGUCAUUGCAUGAUUAUAAUAAAUUACUUCAGUAAUUAAUUAGAUGGGGUAUAAUAUUAACUUGUAUAGAUUGGUUUAAUAUUGGUCACAUGAUUAGAUUAUGACCAGAUUGAAUCUUUAUUCAUAUAUUAUAAUUAGAUAAGUUGUGGUCUAGAUUGUAAUACCUUAAGACACCGACUUUUAUUUAUUAAUUAAAAGAAUAUAUUUAUUUAAAUAGGUGUUACACAUACUC